AGAAGAAUAUACAAAAUGAAAUGGCAUAAAAUCAACAUCUUUCACUAAAAUACCUGCAAGGCAGCAAAAUGGCUAGGAACAAAUGAUGAGAAAUCUAGGGUUUCACUCUCACUCUCCUGUGAGAUAUCUCCUUCUGUGGUGCAAAGCAAGAAGUCAAUGGCAUGUUUCUUUAAUCUCCAAGGUACAGUAGCUGAACAGAACAUGCCUUAGCAUGCCAAUUGCUUGCCACCUUCUGGUUUGACUACCCCGAAUUUCAUUCUUUACAGCAGUUAAAUCCUCCUCAGCAUUAUGAGCAACAGUUGGUUUGACUACCAACAGUUAUGGUGCUGAUGAUCAUGUCAAUAGCAGAC
rnacentral:lncRNA from 1 species